rnacentral:rRNA from 1 species
GUGGGGAAUAUUGCACAAUGGGCGCAAGCCUGAUGCAGCAACGCCGCGUGCGGGAUGACGGCCUUCGGGUUGUAAACCGCUUUUAGUAGGGAAGAAGGGCUUCGGCUUGACGGUACCUGCAGAAAAAGGACCGGCUAACUACGUGCCAGCAGCCGCGGUAAUACGUAGGGUCCGAGCGUUGUCCGGAAUUAUUGGGCGUAAAGAGCUCGUAGGCGGUUUGUCGCGUCUGCUGUGAAAUCCCGAGGCUCAACCUCGGGCCUGCAGUGGGUACGGGCAGACUUGAGUGCGGUAGGGGAGAAUGGAAUUCCUGGUGUAGCGGUGGAAUGCGCAGAUAUCAGGAGGAACACCGAUGGCGAAGGCAGUUCUCUGGGCCGUAACUGACGCUGAGGAGCGAAAGCGUGGGGAGCGAACAGGAUUAGAAACCCUUGUAGUCC